GAAUAUUGGACAAUGGGGGGAACCCUGAUCCAGCCAUGCCGCGUGUGUGAAGAAGGCCUUUUGGUUGUAAAGCACUUUAAGCGAGGAGGAGGCUACUCUAGUUAAUACCUAGAGAUCGUGGACGUUACUAGCAGAAUAAGCACCGGCUACCUCUGUGCCAGCAGCCGCGGUAAUACAGAGGGUGCACGCGUUAAUCGGAUUUACUGGGCGUAAAGCGCGCGUCGGUGGCGAAUUAAGUCAAAUGUGAAAUCCCCGAGCUUAACUUGGGAAUUGCAUUCGAUACUGGUUGGCUAGAGUAUGGGAGAGAAUGGUAGAAUUCCAGGUGGAGCGGUGAAAUGCGUAGAGAUCUGGAGGAAUACCGAUGGCGAAGGCAGCCAUCUGGCCUAAUACUGACACUGAGGUGCGAAAGCAUGGGGAGCAAAC
rnacentral:rRNA from 1 species